CAACAACAACAACUGCCUUGAGGCUGUGGGCGAAAGUGCUGAUUUGUCUUCCAACACACUGGAAGUAUAAAAGUGGCUAUAAAAAGAACAAGAGAAAUGGCAACAUCUGCUGGAGUAGCCAAAAUUGGGAAGAAGGUAUGGUGAGACACUCAAGCUGGCAGAGUGAAGAAUGCAGGAACCAGAACAGUCAAGGACUGGAGGUCAAGAGAAGAAUGCAUUUGCCAGACCAAUAGCUGCAUAUCAAGUGCCAGAGGAUGUGGUAAAUUGCUCAAGCAAUGAAACCGGUUCUGGUACCGGAGCUGCAAUUGGCAUCACCACCUGGGACUUUGCCAACAAUGUUGAACAGAGUGGUCUAAAUUUUUAG
rnacentral:lncRNA from 1 species